GCCCUCGUGGCGGAACUGGCAGACGCGCAUGCUUUAGGAGCAUGUGACCGUAAGGUUGUACAGGUUCAACUCCUGUCGAGGGCA
rnacentral:tRNA from 1 species